GGGGCUGGGGCUCAGUGGUAGAGCACUUGCUUAGUAUGCAUGAGGCACUAAGUUCAAUCCUCAGCACCA
rnacentral:tRNA from 1 species